AAAGGUGAAAAGGACCCCGGGAGGGGAGUGAAAGAGAACCUGAAACCGUGGACCUGCAAGCGGUCAGAGCCCGAGAGGGUGAUGGCGUGCCUUUUGUAGAAUGAGCCUGCGAGUUACCGUAUGCGGCGAGGUUAAGGGAUGGGAGUCCCGGAGCCGCAGGGAAACCGAGUCUGAACAGGGCGUUCAGUCGCGUGCGGUAGACCCGAAGCCAAGUGAUCUAGCCAUGGCCAGGCUGAAGCAGGAGUGAAAUCCUGUGGAGGGCCGAACCUAAAUCCGCUGAAAAGGGUUGGGAUGAGCUGUGGCUCGGAGCGAAAGACUAAACAAACUUGGAGAUAGCUGGUACUCUCCGAAAUAGCUUUAGGGCUAGCGUCGCAUGGACUGUCGCGGAGGUAGAGCACUGGAUAGGUGAGGGCCCGUCACUGGGUACCGAGCUUAACCAAACUCCGAAUACCGCGAUACAAUGUGCGGCAGUCAGACGGCGACUGAUAAGGGCCGUCGUCGAGAGGGAAACAGCCCGGACCGCCGGCUAAGGUCCCCAAGGCGUGCUGAGUGGGAAAGGAAGUAUGAUUGCACAGACAGCCAGGAGGUUGGCUCAGAAGCAGCCACCCCUUCAAAGAGUGCGUAACAGCUCACUGGUCGAGUAGUCAUGCGCCGAUAAUGUAACGGGGCUAAGCACGCCACCGAAGCCGCGGGACAGCAUUAAUGCUGUCGGUAGGAGAGCAUUCCGUGUACGGAAGAAGCGGGGGCGCAAGCCUUCGUGGACGGGACGGAAGAGAGAAUGCAGGCAUGAGUAACGAAAAGACGGGUGAGAUCCCCGUCCGCCGAAAGCCUAAGGUUUCCAGGGUAAAGUCAAUCUACCCAAGGGUCAGUCGGCCCCUAAGGCGAGGGCGAGAGCCGUAGCCGAUGGGAAGCGGGUCAACAUUCCCGCACCUCCCAGGGUUCCGAUGGGAUGACGCAUAGGGCGAAACGCAGCCGGGCGACGGUAGUCCCGGCCGAAACGGCGAGCCGAGGAGGCCCCCAGGCAAAUCCGGGGGCCGAGGCGAGCCGCGAGCGAGGAGCAUCACGGUGCUCUGAAGUGCGCGUAGUCGUCGUGCCGAGAAAGAAUCCCUAAGGAACGGCCCUGGGGGACCGUACUACAAACCGACACAGGUGGGCGAGCUGAGAAUGCGCAGGCGCACGGAAGAAUUCGCGUUAAGGAACUCGGCAAAAUGCAUACGUAACUUCGGGAAAAGUAUGGCCCCCGCGAGGGGGUUGCAGAGAAACGGCCCAUGCGACUGUUUACCAAAAACACAGGUCCAUGCGAACCGGCAACGGGAAGUAUAUGGACUGACACCUGCCCGGUGCUGGAAGGUCAAGAGGAGUUGUCAGAGCGAUCGAAGCAGCGAAUCCAAGCCCCAGUAAACGGCGGCCGUAACUAUAACGGUCCUAAGGUAGCGAAAUUCCUUGUCGGGUAAGUUCCGACCCGCACGAAUGGUGUAACGAUAUGGGCGCUGUCUCAACGCGAAAUCCGGUGAAAUUGAAGUCCAGGUGAAGAUGCCUGGUACCCGUGGUUAGACGGAAAGACCCCGUGAACCUUUACUUCAACUUGGCAUGGAGACUUGGGCAGGGAUGUGUAGGAUAGGUGGGAGGCCGCGAGGCGUGGGCGUCAGCCUGCGAGGAGCCGUCGGUGAAAUACCACCCUUGCCUGUCCAAUUUUCUAACCGCGGCCGUCAUCCGGUCGCGGGACAGUGCCAGGCGGGAAGUUUGACUGGGGCGGUCGCCUCCUAAAGAGUAACGGAGGCGCGCGAAGGU
rnacentral:rRNA from 1 species